UAGAAAAUAAUCUUUGUUAGCGCAAGAAUGUAUCUAACAUUGCUGAACGCUGUUAUGAGCUAGACAAUAGUUGUUCACCUUGUUUGACAAUUCAAAUGCAAAAAUGUUAUGUAUUAAAAAAAAUUCACGAACACUGACCGUCGUUGUUGACCAUUCGUCUAUGUCAGGACGGUCGCGAGCCUGUUUAUUGAUAUUAAAACCAUUUUCAACUAGAAAACAUUUAGAAACGUUUGGAACAAUCGGCGUUGCCAGACAAAUCUGAUUGGCUAACAAUAAGACGAACUAGCCAGGUUAAACAAAAACUCGCGGGCAGCCAAAUGAGCAGAAUCAGUAGAAUCCGUCAGUAAAAAUGCCAUGAGCCAAAGGAAAGUUUUACAAUACAUGAGAUUAUGGCUGCAAAUAAAAAUGUUAUAGUACUUGUGCCAAAUGGUCGUCGACAAAAUGUUGGAGUAGCUCCAAACACUACAAUACUACAAAUACUUGAGAAAAUGUAUCAGAAAUAUGGAUAUAACAGAUGAUUUUGAUCUCAAAUCCUAAUGCUAUAUCAAGAUUUGCUGAAUUGACAAAUAAUGCGCAAUUAGAAAUGGUAUCUUAUACAGAAAUACGUUCCAUUUCUAUUAUUACGAUAUACAGUUAGAAAAUAGGGAAAAAUUGAUGAUUAAAGUUACAUUGUGACGGACAGACAACAGUAAAGAUUCAUCGAAGGACAAGCUAGAGAACCUUCCCAGGAGUCCACAUUUUAUUGAUGCGUCCAGAACGUGGCCACGCGAAGAGGUCAAUUUGCAGUUCGCAGCCUCCUGGAACUAGAAGCCAUCAAGAAAGAUCAAUGGACAAGGAAUGAAGUCUAGAAGGAAUGAAAUCUGCUCGAUUGCAGCAUCAUCAAUCUCCCCAUUCUCUACAUGAAUUGAUUUACAUUGCCUCUCAGCUUGCGUGAUCGGUUGCACACGACGGAAAAUCAGGCGAAAGCAUUAGUGGUCGAGCGCGAUUCUUUGGUAAUAAUGUUAUUGAAUAUGACUUUUUAAUUUUUUGAGAACUAUGAUGAUUUUAAUUGUGAUUUGCUAGUGAUUUUGGAUCAUCGUAUCGUUGUUGCAAUUUUGACCACGUCAGCUUAUUCAUAUUAGGCUGUCACGAUAUUUAGGCUAGCCUCUCUUUAUCGCGAUUGGAUUAACCGGAUUGUUUUCGCAUUAAACAAUUAGCGCAAUGUUCAAGAAAUUUCGAUAAAUCCUGAAAAAUGGAUCUUUCUUCAGUGAUUAUUAGACUAUCUUGUUGUCGAAUGGAAGCGGCUCACAGUGAGCCAUAUCGAGAAUUUAUGCGACAUUUUUGAAUAACUUUUGACUUAUAAAAGAUACACACAUACAAAAUUUCACACAAAUAUUUAUAAUAUUCCU